rnacentral:hammerhead_ribozyme from 1 species
AUCCAGCUGACGAGUCCCAAAUAGGACAGAAGGCGCGUACUGGAA